rnacentral:rRNA from 1 species
AUGGAGUGCAACAGAGAUGAAGCGAUCAGAUCAAAGGAGAUGGCUGAAAGGAAGUACAAGGUGAACGAUUUUGUGGGCGCAAGGAAGCUUGCCUUGAAAGCAAAGGCUCUUUUCGAUCUUGAGGGCCUUGAUCAGAUGAUUGUAGCCUUGGAUGUCCACCUAAGGUCAAUGACAAAGUUUGAAGGGGAGAAUGACUGGUAUGGCAUCCUAGAAGUAUCAACCUGGGCCGAUGAGGAGACUAUCAGGAAGCAGUACAAGAAGCUGGCCUUACAAACUCAUCCAGACAAGAACAGCUUCGUUGGUGCUGAUAGUGCUUUCAAUCUCAUCUCAGAUGCUUGGAAUGUAUUGUCUGACAAAAACAGGAGAAUACUUCAUGAUCAGAGGAGGCAUAUGAGCUCUUUACGAGUCCUUCAGAAUAACUCCCAAGUAAGUGUUGAUAACACUUCCAGUUCAUCCAUGCCAAGUAUGAAUGGCUUCUGCAGGCAAAAUACUGGUCCAGCCUCACCUCCCAAUGUGCCUCCUCAAAAUAUGCCAAAGCUAAGCACAUUUUGGACAGUCUGCAUUUCCUGUCGCAUGAACUUUGAGUACCCAAGGCAAUACGUGAACCAAUAUAUGAUAUGUCCAGAGUGCCAUAAACCUUUUAAGGCUGAAGAAGUUCCUCCUCCGCCUACUUCAAGUCACACCUACCAACCAAAGUCAAUGGAUACUAAUACUAGUAGGGGUCGCACAGCAUGUCCUGGUGAGGGAAUGGCAGGAACAGGAGCUAGUGGUAGCCAGAAUCAUCAUAAUCCUAUGCAGCAGCGGUGCUCUUUUCAGGGAUCUGCAGCUGGUGCACACACUUUUUCACAUUCAGUGCAACAGACACAUGGUACUGUUUCAGGCUCUCCCGGAUCAUCAAUCCCUAGAAAAGCUGCAGCAACGAAGGAAAAGGAAGCUGCAAAGAAGCGAUACAAGAAAGUGGCGCCGCAGUCAACAAGCUCUGGCCUUGACGGUGACUCAAGUUCACAGAACAAAGCCAAAAGGAAGGCUCGCUCCACUGAUCGGGCAUCGGGAGCGAAGAGGCGCAAGGAGACUUCUAAUUGUCAUGUAUCUGCUGGGAGUAGCUUCAUCAAGGAGAUGGAGAAGUUGGAUAUGCGAAGCUUACUAAUUAACAAAAUGAAACUCCAACUUCGGGACAAAUUAGAGGAGUUCAACAGGAAGAAGGCUGAUAUGGAGAAUGGACGAAAGAUGCAGACUAGUCAGAGAACAAACAAAGCGGCCACAUGCAGCACAUCAGUUGAUGCCAAGAAAAUGAAGAGGACACAACAAAGUAGUUCUGUUCAUCCAGAAGAAGAUAAUGGAAAGAAACUGACAAGUGAAAGAAAGAGGGCAGAGAAGAGGAAGCAUGCCGGUUCAGAAGAAAUGGGGUCAUGGGAGUGGAAGAAACCUGAAAUACGGUUUUUUUACACCAGGAGAAGCCGCAGGGAACAAGAGCCAUCUCCCGAUGAAAUGCUUGUCCCUGAUGCAGAUUUCUAUGCCUUUGGUGAUCAUUCUGGGAACUCUUUCCAGAAGGAUCAAGUGUGGGCCACAUAUGAUGAAGAAGAUGGCAUGCCUCGCUACUAUGCUUUGAUCCAGACAGUGCACUCCAGACGCCCUUUUAAGGUUACAUUUGCAUUCCUCAAGGCGGAUAAUCCCGACGAGUUUGGGGCUUCAGACUGGCUCUCAUGUGGAUUUUCCAAGACCUGUGGCGAUUACAAGCCUGGUGCAUCUGAAGAUGCUGACGAGCUGAAUAAAUUCUCUCAUCUUGUCACAUGUCAGAAAGGUGCAGGUAGAAGAAUCAUCAGAAUUCUUCCACGGAAAGGUGAUAUCUGGGCCCUGUACCAGAACUGGUCUGCCGACUGGGAUGAACUUGUACCUGAUGAGACAAUGUACAAGUAUGACUUGGUGCAGGUUCUUGACAGCUACAGCCCAAGUGAAGGCCUUUCUGUCAUGCCCAUUGAGAAAGUCCCUGGCUUUGUGUCUGUGUUCAAGCCACUUUCUGACCCAGCAAAGAGCAGGAGGAUUCCAGAGGAGGAAAUGACGCGGUUUUCGCACCAGGUGCCGUUUCAUAUCCUUACUGGUGAAGAAGCUCACAAUUCUCCCAAGGGAUGCUAUGAAUUGGAUCCAGGCUCAACUCCAAAGGAACUUCUUCAAGUAGUCUGA